GCAAGUCGAGGGGUAACAUUGAUGCUUGCACCAGAUGAAGACCGGCGCACGGGUGCGUAACGCGUAUAGAAUCUACCUUUUACAGGGGGAUAGCCUUUAGAAAUGAAGAUUAAUAUCCCAUAGUAUUGAGAACUGGCAUCGGAUGUUAAUUAAAGAUUUAUCGGUAAAAGAUGACUAUGCGUCCUAUUAGCUAGAUGGUAAGGUAACGGCUUACCAUGGCGAUGAUAGGUAGGGGGCCUGAGAGGGAGAUC
rnacentral:rRNA from 1 species